rnacentral:lncRNA from 1 species
CCACCCGUUCUGAAAGUUUGAUUUUCUUCUGGUAAACUGGACAUCCUUUUAUUUACGUUUGAAGUUUUGGGUUUUUAAAUGUAAUAAGGCCGCUUAUUUAUUUUUGAUGGUUUUUAUAUGUUUUAUUAAGAUAGGUAAUAUUUAUAUUUUAAAUGUUGAAAUUAGAUAGCUUUAGGGCGCGUUUUCAAAAACAGUAAUUGAUUUCAAAAUAACACGAAAAUAAGCAAAGCUUCCGC